rnacentral:rRNA from 1 species
UACAGAGGGGGCAAGCGUUGUUCGGAAUUACUGGGCGUAAAGGGCGCGUAGGCGGCACUGUUAGUCAGGCGUGAAAGUCCUGGGCUCAACCUGGGAACUGCGCUUGAUACGGCAGAGCUAGAGGAUGGAAGAGGCUCGCGGAAUUCCCAGUGUAGAGGUGAAAUUCGUAGAUAUUGGGAAGAACACCGGUGGCGAAGGCGGCGAGCUGGUCCAUUACUGACGCUGAGGCGCGACAGCGUGGGGGAGCAAACAGG